rnacentral:rRNA from 1 species
AGUCGAACGAGAGAGAAGGAGCUUGCUUCUUCGAUCGAGUGGCGAACGGGUGAGUAACGCGUGAGGAACCUGGCUCAAAGAGGGGGACAACAGUUGGAAACGACUGCUAAUACCGCAUAAGCCCACGGGUCGGCAUCGACCUGAGGGAAAAGGAGCAAUCCGCUUUGAGAUGGCCUCGCGUCCGAUUAGCUAGUUGGUGAGGUAACGGCCCACCAAGGCGACGAUCGGUAGCCGGACUGAGAGGUUGAACGGCCACAUUGGGACUGAGACACGGCCCAGACUCCUACGGGAGGCAGCAGUGGGGAAUAUUGCACAAUGGGGGAAACCCUGAUGCAGCGACGCCGCGUGGAGGAAGAAGGUCUUCGGAUUGUAAACUCCUGUUGUUGAGGAAGAUAAUGACGGUACUCAACAAGGAAGUGACGGCUAACUACGUGCCAGCAGCCGCGGUAAAACGUAGGUCACAAGCGUUGUCCGGAAUUACUGGGUGUAAAGGGAGCGCAGGCGGGAAGACAAGUUGGAAGUGAAAUCUAUGGGCUCAACCCAUAAACUGCUUUCAAAACUGUUUUUCUUGAGUAGUGCAGAGGUAGGCGGAAUUCCCGGUGUAGCGGUGGAAUGCGUAGAUAUCGGGAGGAACACCA